UACGUAGGGUGCGAGCGUUGUCCGGAAUUAUUGGGCGUAAAGAGCUCGUAGGCGGUGUGUCGCGUCGGCCGUGAAAACCUGCAGCUUAACUGUGGGCUUGCGGUCGAUACGGGCAUCACUGGAGUUCGGCAGGGGAGACUGGAAUUCCUGGUGUAGCGGUGAAAUGCGCAGAUAUCAGGAGGAACACCGGUGGCGAAGGCGGGUCUCUGGGCCGAUACUGACGCUGAGGAGCGAAAGCGUGGGUAGCAAACAGG
rnacentral:rRNA from 1 species